rnacentral:snRNA from 1 species
CGGCUCAGCCGGAGGUAGGGUC